CAGUAGCCACGGUAACACGGAGGGUGCGAGCGUUAAUCGGAAUUACUGGGCGUAAAGCGUACGCAGGCGGUUUGUUAAGUCAGAUGUGAAAUCCCCGAGCUUAACUCGGGAACUGCAUUUGAAACUGGCAGGCUAGAGUCUCGUAGAGGGGGGUAGAAUUCCGGGUGUAGCGGUGAAAUGCGUAGAGAUCUGGAGGAAUACCGGUGGCGAAGGCGGCCCCCUGGACGAAGACUGACGCUCGGGUACGAAAGCGUGGGGAGCAAACAGGAUUAGAUACCCGAGUAGUCCCUGUCUCUUAUAU
rnacentral:rRNA from 1 species